rnacentral:rRNA from 1 species
GUGGGGAAUCUUGCGCAAUGGGCGAAAGCCUGACGCAGCGACGCCGCGUGAGUGAUGAAGGCCCUCGGGUUGUAAAGCUCUGUGGGCGGGGACGAAUAAGGGUUGGCUAAUAUCCAACCUGAUGACGGUACCCGUUUAGCAAGCACCGGCUAACUCUGUGCCAGCAGCCGCGGUAAGACAGAGGGUGCAAACGUUGUUCGGAAUUACUGGGCGUAAAGCGCGUGUAGGCUGCUCCGCAAGUCGGAUGUGAAAGCCCUGGGCUCAACCUAGGAAGUGCAUUCGAUACUGCAGAGCUUGAGUCCUGGAGAGGAAGGCGGAAUUCUCGGUGUAGAGGUGAAAUUCGUAGAUAUCGAGAGGAACACCGGUGGCGAAGGCGGCCUUCUGGACAGUGACUGACGCUGAGACGCGAAAGCGUGGGGAGCAAACAGGAUUAGAUACCCCGGUAGUCC